rnacentral:rRNA from 1 species
GACGAACGCUGGCGGCGUGCUUAACACAUGCAAGUCGAACGAUGAAGCCGGAGCUUGCUCUGGUGAAUUAGUGGCGAACGGGUGAGUAACACGUGAGUAACCUGCCCUUGACUCUGGGAUAACUGCUAGAAAUGGUAGCUAAUACCGGAUACGACCCUCGGAGGCAUCUCCAGGGGGUGGAAAGAAUUUCGGUCAAGGAUGGACUGGCGGCCUAUCAGCUAGUUGGUGAGGUAAUGGCUCACCAAGGCGACGACGGGUAGCCGGCCUGAGAGGGUGACCGGCCACACUGGGACUGAGACACGGCCCAGACUCCUACGGGAGGCAGCAGUGGGGAAUAUUGCACAAUGGGCGCAAGCCUGAUGCAGCAACGCCGCGUGAGGGAUGACGGCCUUCGGGUUGUAAACCUCUUUUAGUAGGGAAGAAGCGAAAGUAACGGUACCUGCAGAAAAAGCACCGGCUAACUACGUGCCAGCCGCCGCGGUAA